rnacentral:rRNA from 1 species
AGCGUAGACGGAGUGGUAAGUCUGAUGUGAAAACCCGGGGCUCAACCCCGGGACUGCAUUGGAAACUGUCAAUCUAGAGUACCGGAGAGGUAAGCGGAAUUCCUAGUGUAGCGGUGAAAUGCGUAGAUAUUAGGAGGAACACCAGUGGCGAAGGCGGCUUACUGGACGGUAACUGACGUUGAGGCUCGAAAGCGUGGGGAGCAAACA